GAUCAUUAAUAAAACUCAAUAUUAUUCAUCCACAUCUAUGAUGUUUUAUUUUUACUUUUGCUUUUUCUGAAAAUGGUAAUCACAAAAAACAUGAAUAAAUAAAUAUAAUUGUCCAUCUGCAUAAUAUUUGGUCACCAAAUCACUUCUCUAGAAUCAAAAUAUCAAAUCAUUAUGCAGGUUGAUUUCUAAACCCAUUGAAUACAAUGAUCUUACUCCUUCGCCAAAUUUUGAAUUCCCUGUGUUUGAAGCCGAGGAAUGAAGUGAUGAAGAAGUAUCUGAUGAAUUGUCUCGUCUACUUGAGCACGAGAAAAAAUCCAUUCAAUCGCUCGAAGAGCAGAUUGAGUUAGUCAACUUGGGUUUCGAGGAUGAUGUGAAGGAAGUCAAGAUUGGGUCUCGACUGUGUCCAGAAAUGAAGAAGGGGUUGAUUGAUC
rnacentral:lncRNA from 1 species